AGCGGCGGACGGGUGAGUAACGCGUGAGCAACCUGUCCCAAACAGGGGGAUAACGAACCGAAAGGUUCACUAAUACCGCAUAAGACCACAGAGUCACAUGGCUCAGGGGUCAAAGGAGAAAUCCGGUUUGGGGUGGGCUCGCGUCUGAUUAGCUAGUUGGUGGGGUAACGGCCUACCAAGGCGACGAUCAGUAGCCGACCUGAGAGGGUGAUCGGCCACAUUGGAACUGAGACACGGUCCAAACUCCUACGGGAGGCAGCAGUGGGGAAUAUUGGGCAAUGGGCGAAAGCCUGACCCAGCAACGCCGCGUGAAGGAAGAAGGUUUUCGGAUCGUAAACUUCUAUCCUUGGUGAAGAUAAUGACGGUAGCCAAGAAGGAAGCCCCGGCUAACUACGUGCCAGCAGCCGCGGUAAUACGUAGGGGGCAAGCGUUGUCCGGAAUGAUUGGGCGUAAAGGGCGCGUAGGCGGCCUGGUAAGUCUGGAGUGAAAGUCCUGCUUUUAAGGUGGGAAUUGCUUUGGAUACUGCUGGGCUUGAGUGCAGGAGAGGUAAGUGGAAUUCCCGGUGUAGCGGUGAAAUGCGUAGAGAUCGGGAGGAACACCAGUGGCGAAGGCGACUUACUGGACUGUAACUGACGCUGAGGCGCGAAAGUGUGGGGAGCAAACAGGAUUAGAUACCCUGGUAGUCCACACUGUAAACGAUGAAUGCUAGGUGUAGG
rnacentral:rRNA from 1 species